rnacentral:piRNA from 1 species
UGAGGGCUUAAGUGAUGGGUUUGCCGCAA